AAGCUCGACCUCAAAUCAUGUAGAUG
rnacentral:rRNA from 1 species